rnacentral:rRNA from 1 species
GAUGAACGCUGGCGGCGUGCCUAAUACAUGCAAGUCGAGCGAACAGACGAGGAGCUUGCUCCUCUGACGUUAGCGGCGGACGGGUGAGUAACACGUGGAUAACCUACUUAUAAGACUGGGAUAACUUCGGGAAACCGGAGCUAAUACCGGAUAACAUGUUGAACCGCAUGGUUCAACAGUGAAAGACGGUCUUGCUGUCUCUUAUAGAUGGAUCCGCGCCGCAUUAGAUAGUUGGUAAGGUAACGGCCUACCAAGGCAACGAUGCGUAGCCGACCGGAGAGGGUGAUCGGCCACACUGGAACUGAGACAGGGUCCAGACUCCUACGGGAGGCAGCAGUAGGGAAUCUUCCGCAAUGGGCGAAAGCCUGACGGAGCAACGCCGCGUGAGUGAUGAAGGUCUUCGGAUCGUAAAACUCUGUUAUUAGGGAAGAACAGAUGUGUAAGUAACUAUGCACGUCUUGACGGUACCUAAUCAGAAAGCCACGGCUAACUACGUG